rnacentral:rRNA from 1 species
AUGGCGUCUAGAGGUGAGAGCCAGACGGAGCGCUGCACCAGGCUCGCAGCCCAGCACUACAGCGAAAAUCAUGGUGUUGAUCUCACGGAUCUGGACCCGGUGGACAGCCACGCCUUCUCCUGCCGGUGGGUGGACGCCGGCGACAACCGGCUCUGCUUCCAUGUCAACUUCAGGGCCGUCGCGGGGUCCCACGGGACACGACUCUUCUUCGCCGAGGUCCUCGGCGACGGCCCCCCAAAGUCGGUGCAGCACUGUGUCAUGCUAGGAGGACCAUCCACUUGGUCAACAAACAAUUGCACCUUUUGCUCCGGUAUCUGA